AAAAAAAUGGAUGGAGCAACCAGGAUAGCAGAACAAAACGAUGGAAAUAAUGUGUUGAAUAAGACCUGAUGAAUAUGCAUCAAGGAGACUGGGGCAAACCACCAGGUCAGCAGUGGUGUGAGAACAAAGGGAAGAAAGAGAAGACGGCUCUGAGCAAUGCUAAGUCCUCACCACUCCAAACAAAGCCCCCCCACUGGGAGUAAAGAAAUUAACUGGUGGAUCUGAGAACAGCAAUCCAAACUGAUUGGAUUCCCAGCAAAUAGUCUCUGAGAUGGAGUUUAGUGUUUAGGAUAUUAACUAUGGAGUGCCUUUGGAGUCAAUACAAGAGGGAGAGAAGGAAAGAAAACUGUGAAGAACAAGAAGUCAAUUUGCGGCAGCCACCACAGCUUAACUUAUGCAGCAGCAGCCCUGGACCUCAUUUUAUUUCCAGGAAUUGGGUCAGUACGGUGAGAAAUGGAAAUGAAAUUCGAAGCUCCUCAGCUAACUGAAUGGACCCAUCUUGGCCAAUGGGACUCCAGAGCAACCUUGAAAACUGAGAUUUUGGCCCUGAUGAGUAGGAGGUCAGACAUGUUGUUAUAUCCCCUCCCUCCCUAACUGUCAUUAGGCUUUCAUUCCUAAGGGCUAAACAGAAAGCAGCUCUUUUUUUUUUUAAAUGAAGAAGUUUAUUUGACUCACAGUUCUGGCAGAAAGCAUGGCUGGGAGGCCUCAGGAAACUUGCAAUUAUGGUGGAAGGUGAAGGGGAAGCAAGCAUGUCUCACCAUGGUGGAGCAGGAGAGACAGAGCAAAGGGGAAAGUGCUACACACUUUUUUUUGAGACAGGGUCUUGCUCUGUUGCUCAGGUUGAAGUGUAGGGGCGCAAUUUCAGCUCACCGCAACCCCCACCUCCUGGGCUCAAGCAGUGCUCCCACCUCAGCCUCCCCAGUAGCUGGGACUACAGGCAGGUGCCACUACACCUGGGUAAUUUUUGUAGAGAUGGAGUUUCGCCAUGUUGCCCAGGCUGGUUUCAAACUCCUGAGCUCAAGCCAUCUGCCCACCUUGGCCUCCCAAAGUGCUGGGAUUAUAGGCAUGAGCCACUGCACCCACCCAUGCUAGACACUUUUAAACAAGAUCUUAUGAGAACUCACUAUCGUGAGAACAGGAAGGGAGAAACCUGCCCCCACGAUCUAAUCACCUCCCACUAGGUCACUCCCUCAACAUCGGGAAUUAUAACAUGAGACUUGGGUGGGGACACAGAAUCAAACCAUAUCACUGUCAUAGGAUCCUAAAUAUUGUUUCUGACCAAGGAACUCAUUUGCUGUGAGAUUAAUGAGAGGAUAAACAGAAAGCAGGUCUUUCAAAAGACUCCUUGGCUGCUAUCAGGCCUACAUCAACCAACUGCCUGAUGCUGCUCCUCCCUUCUGCAGUUUCCAUGCAACAAUUGAUCAGCAUUUCUUCCUGAUAAGAGACCACCCAUGGAGUGGUUCUGGCCAAGCCAAUCUAUAUGCAACUCAUGAAGGGGCAUGAAGUUCCAUUGCGCAUGUGCAUGUUUCUCCUUUCAAAGAUAUUCAUGACUCCUUCUACUUUAUUAAAUAUGUAUAUUCUACCACCCUGCUCAGCAUCAAUUCCUGUUCCCUUUGUCCUUCCCUUUAAGUGUCUGUUUCUGGCUUCUGGCCAGAGGCUAUGCUUUCCAGUCUGUCAGAAUGGCCACCCUGCAGGCUGCAAUGCUUUAUGAAAA
rnacentral:lncRNA from 1 species